GUGAAAUUGUUGUAAAGGGAAACGAUUAAAGUCAGUCAUGUUUGUAGGGGAAUCAACUUGAUGGUAUGCGGGGGUUUACUCGUGUUCGUUUUUGAGUGCACUUCCUUACUUGCAAGUUAGCAUCAAUUUUGAUUAUCAUAUAAAAAUUGAGGGAAGGUGGCUUUUCUUCGGAAAAGUGUUAUAGACCUCGAGAAAUGUGAUGAUCGGGAUUGAGGGAUUGCAGCGGAUACCCUUUUUGGGGGCUAGUCACCUGGCUUCUGAUGAUUACCCCGUCUUCGACAGCUUGCUGACGUUGGUGGGACUCGAUUAUCUAGAUGUUAGACUGAUCAUAAAUUCGCUAAGGAUGCUGACGUAAUGGCUUUAAACGAC
rnacentral:rRNA from 1 species